GGUCUAGACCAGUGGUUCUCAACCUUUUUUGCCCCAUGCACCCCUUUCACCAUAUGUCAGAAUGUCAUUCCCCCCCUCCUUUCCAAGAUUGUCUGCCUCAAAGGCAAUAAAAAGAUCAACAUUCUAACAGUUUGAGUUUGCUAAUCUGUGGUCCCAAUUCCCCCCCCUGAAAACCUGAAAUCCCCCCCUGGGGGGAAUUCCCCCCUGGUUGAGAACCCCUGGCAUAUUCCUUCCA